rnacentral:lncRNA from 1 species
UCUUGACCAAAAUCGGCCCUAGUAUCAUUUUAGAGAAGGGCUAGCCGAUUUCAAGUGUUCUACAUUUCUCUCAAGGUUAUUCCAAAAGCAAUUGAUGUUGUGUGAACCAUNUAGUGUAAUAGAAGGGCUAGCCGAUUUUCAAGAAGUGUAGAAUUCUCUCAAGUUAUUCCAAGUGUAUUUGGUGUUGUGUGAACCAUUUGAGGUGUCACACUUGAGGCACUAGGCACUCAAGCUUCAUGAAGACAUUCUACAUCAAAGAGGUAUGUAUUCUAUCUUGUUAUAUUCAUUGUUUUGUAUGCUAGAUUAGGAUAAUACCUUGGAUAUUCAUAUUUGCAUGUAUAAUAGAAAAAACAUAGAUCCAAGGUAUUUAGGGUUGCAUGUACACUUAGGAGUGUUAGAAUGCUCAAAACCCAACAGUUUUCGCCCUCAAGAUUUGGCAUCAUUACCUUUAUGGGGUUCGUUGUACUAUCUACACGGACCAUAAGAGUUUGAAGUACCUCAUGGAUCAGCCGAAUCUAAACAUGAGGCAGCCCCGAUGGAUGGACGUGGUAAAGGAUUACGAUUGCGAGAUCCUUUAUCACCCGGAUAAGGCCAAUGUGGUGGCCGACGCGCUUAGCCGCAAGGCAGCGCCGAUCAGGGAUAUCUGCCUGAGGAUGACGGUGGUGACUCCACUGUUGGAGAGGAUUUGGGAGGCCCAGCAGGAGGCCAUGAAGGAGGAAC